rnacentral:rRNA from 1 species
AUGCAAGACUACUUCGUGGACAAUCCUACCUAUCCGCCGCACCUCUUUUGAAGAAGGUAUCGAAUGCGUUGAUCCCUCUUCAUAAAAAUUGUGCAAGCUUGCGAGGCCAAUUCUCGGUUUUUUACUCAAAGGAGAAACGCCGCGGGCUUGUUGGGUUUUAGCGCAUAUCAAAAAAUCUCCGCAGCUAUGCGGGUGAUUGCAUAUGGCAUUCCGACUAACUAUGUGAUACGUCUCCAACGUAUCUAUAUUUUUUGA